UGGGGAAUAUUGCACAAUGGGCGAAAGCCUGAUGCAGCGACGCCGCGUGAGGGAUGACGGCCUUCGGGUUGUAAACCUCUUUCAGUAGGGACGAAGCGCAAGUGACGGUACCUGCAGAAGAAGCUCCGGCUAACUACGUGCCAGCAGCCGCGGUAAUACGUAGGGUGCGAGCGUUGUCCGGAAUUACUGGGCGUAAAGAGCUCGUAGGCGGUUUGUCACGUCGUCUGUGAAAUCCUAGGGCUUAACCCUGGACGUGCAGGCGAUACGGGCUGACUUGAGUACUACAGGGGAGACUGGAAUUUCUGGUGUAGCGGUGGAAUGCACAGAUAUCAGGAAGAACACCGAUGGCGAAGGCAGGUCUCUGGGUAGUAACUGACGCUGAGGAGCGAAAGCAUGGGUAGCGAACAGG
rnacentral:rRNA from 1 species